rnacentral:lncRNA from 1 species
CUUUCCCCUCGCCCACCCGGCGGUCUUCAUCCCCUCUCCCUUCCCUCUUCCUCUCACCCUUCAAUUCCCCAUUCUCGUCUCUCCUCCUCCUUUCCCCUCUUUAUCCCGGACUCCCAGACUCCCAGCUCCCUCGCUGGGGACCAAGGGCGGGGGUGGGUUUCCGUGGGCCCACGGCGAACCACAAUUGUAGCCAUUUAACUCUUUGGCACCCACAGUCCCUGCCUCCUUUCCCGAAACGCCUCCUCAUCGUAUCCUUCCUUAGCCCUCAUUCCUCACAGAUUAUCAGGGCAAAUUGAUGGUUAUUUAAAAGAACCGACACAAUAGGAGACAAAAUACUGGCAACAGAUAAAACAAAAGGAGGCUCAAAGCUCUUUAAUUAAGCCCCAUGAAGGGCUGGGAAUGCGAGCUCCUCCUCGUUUCCCUGCUGGGCCGCCGCCAGAUUAGCUCCCCCGCAUCUGCUCGGUUUCCUAGCCUCCAUCUGCCCCGCCAGGCACUAACGGAUUCCAGGGGCGCGGGUGCUGAGAGAGAUGCCUCCAAGAUAGCAGUUGUUGUAGGGAGAGGCUCAGGGUGGGCAUGGCGGAAGUGCGGUUGAACUGGCAGGACGCAUCGCUCGGUUCAUUUGCCCCAUGGCUCUGCCCUAGGAUCACCCAUGCAGACCGCCCGAUGACAUGCCCUGAUUUCCAGGAAGCACAGAGAGGACAGGGUCCGAGGAAGCAUUCCUAUGGGCAAAGAGCUGUCAGCUACGUUUCACCGACUCUUAACAGCCCGGCGUAGCAAAGGCUGCGGACCUCGGUAUCUUUCCCUUUUUGAACAAAGGAGUGGAAAAUCCACUGUGUCCUCAAUUUUGGCAUUUAAAAAGACAUCCUGUUUUAAACGAAUCAAUAGGACAUUAAGGAACCUAGAAUAUCACCCAGUACCUAAGAGGUACCUAAUAAACACUUGUUGUAUGAAACUGAAUAUCACAACCAGCUAUUUGUGGACAAUAAGACCAUCAAUUGGUUAGAGCAAAGGUCAAGAUCAAAAUCAAAUUAUAAGAAAUAAUAUGAGAAGAUACUGUGAAUAAUUGUGACAACUUCAACUUGACCUAAUCAAACAAGCUGUCAAUGCCAGAAAAUGGGAAAUGGAAAAAGGUAAGGAUUGUGAUUAAUACCCUUUCCUGCUGUUAAGACAUUUCUGAUGGACCAUUUCUGAUAAAGAGCAGUUUGAUAUAAGGAAAAGCCAAAAAUCUGAGGAACUACAUUGGCUAGCAAAUGUCUGAUCUCCUUACUCAGGGGAGAGACAUGUUAAAGGGUAAAACUAAUUUAAAAUACAAAUUCCUUUGUAAAAAUCUACGAAGAAUGGUAGAAGAUAGCUACAUUACUCCCCCCUCCCCAAAUAAAGUAGCAGAAAAUUGUGGCA